AUGGUCACAUAUAUGGAAAAGGGUGGCUGGCCAUGUGCUAUUUUAGAGUGGUGUGAACCCAAUUUUAUAAAAUUCAAAUCCCAUUUAAUUAAGAAGUCAAGUGGGCAAGUGGGUAGAAAAGCACUCAAGUGUUUUGUGAUAUUUUGAAGAGUUGUGUGAGCCAUUCUAACCCCCAAAUCCGACCACUCUCCCUCCCUCAUUCACUCUCAUCUGAUUUUUGAAGACUCUCUCAAGUGUUCUCUCCAUUUUGAACCCCAAGAACACCAAAGAAACUUGGAAGCUAAGUCUUGGUCUAGGAAGGGUUUUCCCUAAGUUGGUUAGGGUUUUUGAAAGGUUUUGAAGGAGUCAAAGCUUAUAGGAAGGUCCAAACCUUAAGCAAGAACACCAAAGAGGUAAGGGCAAGGGCAGGGCAGAGCAGUGAGCGCUGGAGUCUUCCUUGCAAAUGUACAUGUGGACCGACCUUUUGGGAAG